rnacentral:rRNA from 1 species
AUUGAACGCUGGCGGCAGGCCUAACACAUGCAAGUCGAACGAGUGGCGGACGGGUGAGUAAUGUCUGGGAAACUGCCUGAUGGAGGGGGAUAACUACUGGAAACGGUUGCUAAUACCGCAUACCAUCGGAUGUGCCCAGAUGGGAUUAGCUAGGAGGUGGGGUAACGGCUCACCUAGGCGACGAUCCCUAGCUGGUCUGAGAGGGUGACCAGCCACACAGGACCUGAGACACGGUCCAGACCCUUACGGGAGGCAUCAGUGGGGAAUAUUGCACAGUGGGCGCAAGCCUGAUGCAGCCAUGCCGCGUGUAUGAAGAAGUCCUUCGGGUUGUAAAGUACUUUCAGCGGGGAGGCGUUACCCGCAGAAGAAGCACCGGCGAACUCAGUGACAGCAGCCGCGGUAAUA